rnacentral:tRNA from 1 species
GCUGGCGUAGCUCAGUGAGUAGAGCAGCGGUUUCGUAAACCGCAGGCCGUCAGUGCAAAUCUGACCGCCAGCU